rnacentral:rRNA from 1 species
CCGCUGGGAUUUAAGCAUAUAAUUAAGCGGAGGAAAAGAAACUAACCAGGAUUCCCUCAGUAAGGGCGACUGAAGCGGGAAUAGCUCCACUUGUGAAUCAGCGCUUGCGCCGAAUUGUGGUGUGUUCACUUUAUGGUCCGGGCCAAGUCCCUUGGAAAAGGGCAGCAGAGAGGGUGAGACUCCCGUCCGCCUGGGCCGCUACGGAGUGUUCAUGAAUGAGUCGAGUUGUUUGGGAUUGCAGCUCUAAGCGGGUGGUAAAUUCCAUCGAAAGCUAAAUACCGGUGGGAGACCGAUAGCGUACAAGUACCGUGAGGGAAAGAUGCAAAGAACUUUGAAAAGAGAGUUAAAGAGUACCUGAAAUCGCUGAAAGGGAAGCGAAGGAAACCAGUGUCAUCCCCGUCAUACUUCUGCGAUCGCUUGCGGUCGUGGCGCUGUGGCUGGACUGGUCAUGCUUGGUUCUGAGGUUGUGAAACGGGCCGUCGGAGUUGACGUCGGCUUUUUGGCAGCUUUGGGACUGAGUUUGGCGAAAUGGUUUUCUUUACCCCGUCUUGAAACAGGAACCAAGGA